UACGUAGGGGCCUAGCGUUGUCCGGAAUUAUUGGGCGUAAAGAGCUCGUAGGCGGUUCGGCAAGUCGGAUGUGAAAUCUCCACGCUCAACGUGGAGGGGCCAUUCGAAACUGCCGUGACUCGAGUCCGGUAGGGGAGUGUGGAAUUCCCGGUGUAGCGGUGAAAUGCGCAGAUAUCGGGAGGAACACCAGCGGCGAAGGCGGCACUCUGGGCUGGUACUGACGCUGAGGAGCGAAAGCGUGGGUAGCAAACAGG
rnacentral:rRNA from 1 species